rnacentral:rRNA from 1 species
GCGGUAAUUCCAGCUCCAAUAGCGUAUAUUAAAGUUGUUGCAGUUAAAAAGCUCGUAGUUGAAACUUGGGCCUGGCUGGCGGGUCCGCCUCACCGCGUGCACUCGUCCGGCCGGGCCUUCCUUCUGAAGAACCUCAUGCCCUUCACUGGGCGUGUUGGGGAAUCAGGACUUUUACUUUGAAAAAAUUAGAGUGUUCAAAGCAGGCCUUUGCUCGAAUACGUUAGCAUGGAAUAAUAAAAUAGGGCGUGCGUUUCUAUUUUGUUGGUUUCUAGAGACGCCGCAAUGAUUAACAGGAACAGUCGGGGGCAUCAGUAUUCAGUUGUCAGAGGUGAAAUUCUUGGAUUUACUGAAGACUAACUACUGCGAAAGCAUUUGCCAAGGAUGUUUUCAUUAAUCAGUGAACGAAAGUUAGGGGAUCGAAGACGAUCAGAUACCGUCGUAGUCUUAACCGUAAACUAUGCCGACUAGGGAUCGGGCGAUGUUCUUUUUCUGACUCGCUCGGCACCUUACGAGAAAUCAAAGUUUUUGGGUUCUGGGGGGAUUAUGGUCGCAAGGCUGAAACUUAAAGAAAUUGACGGAAGGUCACCACCAGGCGUGGAGCCUGCGGCUUAAUUUGACUCAACACGGGGAAACUCACCAGGUCCAGAUGAAAUAAGGAUUGACAGAUUGAGAGCUCUUUCUUGAUUUUUCAGGUGGUGGUGCAUGGCCGUUCUUAGUUCGUGGGGUGACUUGUCUGCUUAAUUGCGAUAACGAGCGAGACCUUACUCUGCUAAAUAGCCAGGCUAGCUUUGGCUGGUCGCCGGCUUCUUAGAGAGACUAUCAACUCAAGUUGAUGGAAGUUUGAGGCAAUAACAGGUCUGUGAUGCCCUUAGAUGUUCUGGGCCGCACGCGCGCUACACUGACAGAGCCAACGAGUUCUUCACCUUGGCCGAAAGGUCUGGGUAAUCUUGUUAAACUCUGUCGUGCUGGGGAUAAAGCAUUGCAAUUAUUGCUUUUCAACGAGGAAUGCCUAGUAAGCGCGUGUCAUCAGCAUGCGUUGAUUACGUCCCUGACCUUUGUACACACCGCCCGUCGCUACUACCGAUUGAAUGGCUCAGUGAGGCGUUCGGACUGGCUCGGGGAGGUUGGCAACGACCACCCCAAGCCGG